rnacentral:rRNA from 1 species
ACGCAGGCUGGCUGAUCUGGUACAACGGGUGCGGAACUACUGUACAGUAAAUCUUCUCUUUCAAGUCGGUGGAAUAGACUCCGGGCGAAAUCCAGGAAUUAAUACCCCUAUAGUCAUGAUUGAAGCAGCGCGAUCUCAUUCUCAUUGAUCUAAAGAUUAUAAUCUACUGUAACAGUAUGGCUGUGACGGCUGAUCUCAGAUCAGCUUGGCCGGCGGUUAACUGGCCCAACCAAGUCUGCGGAUCAGUAACUGGUUGUUGAUAGCACGACGCAGUCACACGUGGCUCUUGAAACACGGUGCCCGACUCCAUAACGGGAGGCAGCAGUAAGGAAUAUUGGUCAAUGGACGCAAGUCUGAACCAGCCAUGCCGCGUGAAGGAUGAAGGUCCUCUGGAUUGUAAACUUCUUUUAUAUGGGACGAAAAAGGAUCUUUCUAGAUCAACUGACGGUACCAUGUGAAUAAGCACAGGCUAACUCCGUGCCAGCAGCCGCGGUAAUACGGAGGGUGCAAGCGUUAUCCGGAUUCACUGGGUUUAAAGGGAGCGUAGGUGGGUCGGUAAGUCAGUGGUGAAAUCCCCGAGCUUAACUUGGGAACUGCCAUUGAUACUAUCAAUCUUGAAUACUGUGGAGGUUAGCGGAAUAUGUCAUGUAGCGGUGAAAUGCUUAGAUAUGACAUAG